rnacentral:rRNA from 1 species
AUGCCCCAGAUCGAGUCCAGCAGGUCGGCCGACGCGCUAGGGUUCCGUUUGGUCAGCUCCGCGCUGGCUCUCCGGUUGGCCGCCCGCCCGACGAUGGAUCUCCUGCCGCUCUCCCACCAACCGCUUUUCGCGGCCGUCCAAUCCGCGGACGCCGAGGCCGUGCGCCGCCUCCUGGCCGGCGCCGAGGAGUCCGCGCUCUACGUCGCGGCGGAGGCCGGCGCGCUCGAGGUCGUGCACCUCCUCCUCCCUCUCUACGACCUCGAGACCUCCAAGCUCCGCUCCCGCCUCGACCUCGACGCCUUCCACGUCGCUGCCAAGCAAGGGCACACCGAAAGCAUAAUGCUAGUGGGAUCUACUCGGUUCAUGCUUACUUUGUCGUCUACGCCGGAUACCGCGCCCGGGGCCGCUGGUGGCCUCGAGGAUGACACCCAGGCUAAGGCAUACGAGGGCGCACCACCACCGUAUGACAGUACCAAGCGCAUGGUCAUCCCCGACACGCUCAAGGUUCUGAGGCUCCAGCCUGCGCACAGGUACUGCCUCCUGGGCCAGCUCUCCAAAGAGAUGUUCGGGAUGGCGGAGAAGGAGAUGGAGUACCGGCUCAAGCUUUUCAACCGGUGA